AGCAGCAGCAGCAGCAGCAGCAGCAGCAGUCGUCCUACAGUCCUGGAGCGGCAGAGAUCAUCAGGGAUUAGACUGCAGCCGUAAUCACUCUGUGGACUCGACCGCGGUCACUCAGGCAGCUGCCGCAGCUCAGUCUACAUUUGCUGUGUGAAUUCCAAUCCCCAGUGACUCCAGUUUCCACCUGUGACCACCAGAGGGCGACAGCGUAUUACAGAUUCGUGUCCAGAGUCUCAGCGGCGCUGGAGAGUCAGCUGUCAGCCCGCAUCUUCAGGAUGAAGGACACUUUUUUUUUGUUGAAGAGCUCCAUGUUCUUGCCAUCAGUGAUGACAGAUGGUUUGUGAGAGAAGAGAAAAAAAAGGAAAAAAAAAACCAUCAACUUCAACCUGCAGGAUCCAUGACUGCACAGAAGAGGGAGCUAAAGAAACCUCUGCCAGUUUCAACCCACUCUGUUCUCCAUGGAUGAUGUUUUCCAAAACUUCAUCUGGAGAAGAGUCAAGAGUCAGAAAUAACGGUUCCUCCACGUUUGUCAGGACUUCAGGUGGUUCCACAUUUUUCAGCCCACGGAGCAGAUUUAUUCUGCCAAAGUUCACGGGGUGAAGAGGAGCUGAGGUGAGUUAGAACCCGGGGGUGAGAUCGGUGACAGAGGCUAAAGUCAUUCAUCAAUGAGCGUGGAGCAGCGAUUGAUCACAGCGAUCAGAACCAUCCUGGACGUCAGGACGUCUCCUGUGGAAACGCUCCAAACUCUCACAGCUGGACGGUGAGUUUUUUUUUUUUAUUUUCUUUCUGUCGUUGAAAUGUUUUAAAUGUUUUCUUUCUGUGUUGUCUGACAGUGGUGCAGUGGCAGGACUCACAUCUGCCAGGCAGAAGGUUCCAGGUUUGAUUCCCCCGUGGCCUCCAGUCCCAUGUUGGGGAGCAGACGGUGUAAACUUCAGAUGAGGAAACCCAGUGGUCGUUGACGCAUGUGGAUUGAGUUUCAGAACGUGGGCUGAUUCACGGGGACAGGAUAAGAAUCAAGAAGGUCACACUCCUUUCAUUUCCUCGCAGAAGGCAACGAGCACAUCUUAGCAGAGUGGAAAACAAAAGGCUGCCACAGGGGAGAUGGAUGGCUGACGGUGAGUGUGUGUGUGUGUGUGUGUGUGUGUGUGUGUGAUGAAAGCUGAGACAGAGCAGACCCUCCAAAAACCCCUGAAACGCCCCAUUCCCUCAUCCUGAAUCUUUAAAUGUUCUCCGUUCUUCUACAACAAACUGACUCGUUUUAGGGUCAUUAUACAACAUCGGUAACUUAUUCAACUUUAGGAAAAAUCUUUUUUUUUUUUUUUAUGAGCUGAGAGAAACACAAAAAGAAACAAAGCCACACGUGGAUCUUUAACUGUAGCAGCGGCCAACGCUGUUCUGAAUAGACUGAGAUAAUACAACAUUACACAGCCAGGAAGUAGAUAAUAACAUUUGAAAACCCUGCUGUGAUAAAUAAAUAAUAACAACAGUGAGGGGACAGCAGGGGCUUCAUCAUCUAAGGGUUUUUAUUGAUUAACUGGAUUAGUCUCAUGAUUAAAAU